rnacentral:rRNA from 1 species
UACGAAGGGGGCGAGCGUUGUUCGGAAUCACUGGGCGUAAAGGGCGCGUAGGCGGCCCUCUUAGUCGCGUGUGAAAGCCCCGGGCUCAACCUGGGAACGGCGCGCGAAACGGGAGGGCUGGAGUUCGGGAGAGGAGAGUGGAAUUCCCAGUGUAGAGGUGAAAUUCGUAGAUAUUGGGAAGAACACCGGUGGCGAAGGCGGCUAUCUGGACCGACAUUGACGCUGAGGCGCGAAAGCGUGGGGAGCAAACAGG